CGGGAGUGAGUGUGAGUGUGAGAGCAAGAACAGCCCGCAGGUCCCGAGGCGCUUGCAGGGGACUCUGCCGCGGAAAGUUCCCAGUCCCCAGCCGCAGAAGCUUUUUAUUUUUGGUUGAUUCCUGCUGUCUACUCCUCUUGGAUGCCUUUGUGAAACUGCUUCUAUCUGAGAAGGAGGAGUUGCCAUUUAGCAAGUAGUAGGUGGUACCGUGUGUGGCAGAGUCCGAUGUGUUACACCACGAGGACAUUCAUCUUUGCAAUUGGUGAAGUCCUUCUACCUAGUUCCCCUUCCUUGUGCACAGAAGAGGACUGGAAAACUCCUCACAGGACUGCAUACUGCUAUCUCUGAGAAACCAGAAAGAAGAAAGUACCUCUUCCUUCCAAGCUUCUACCUAAGAGUAUACUGGAAGGUUUACCUAGAGCAACAAGACAACGAAAUGGAUUGUCCUUCUCACGCUAGUCCACACACAAUCCUCAUCAUUUUGAUAAGAUAGCAUGAAGUCUCUUAUCGCUUGUGGAUCCAGCACUUUGGUUCAGGUUCAUCUGCCCAUAAUUCUCUAAGAUUUGGAGCUGUUGAGGAGUGGCUCAUAGUAGACACUGAACCAUCAGCCAACAGCAUUUGUUGUCCUGGAUGUCUGUGCCAACCUUUCGAGUCACACUGGGGUCUAAAGACACACCUGGAAUAAAAAUCAGAAUGCUUAAGAAACUUAAUAUGAUCUGCGGGAGAAUACAUGAGGUUUUUGUUUCAUACCACAGUCUGAUGACAGCAUGGAUUUCAACUGAUGAUGUUCACCUUUGCCUCUUGGGUAUGUUGACCUCACAGUCGUCCCCUGAUAAGACUGCUCUUUUCCUUGGUGUUUAAUAAAUAAGGGAAUCUACACGGAGAUACUACAAAUAUUCUAUCUUACCUAAACUUUAUCAACCAAGUUUAAAGUUUGCUGGCAUACUGUGUUAGUGUAAGGACAGUUACUACUUUCUGUACUAAUUUCACAUUUUUCUAAAAGAGGAUUUAUUCUUACCCAUGCAUCCGUUUGUUGUUUGUUCAAAUUACCAUGGAAUUGAUCUACAAUGUUAAACUAAUACCAUCAUUAUUUAGCUGAUUUUCACUAGGUCAGAGCUAAGGCUGAUUUUCUCCUGUUUAAUUUUGAAAUGUUCCCAUGUGUUUGUUUUCUGUUGUUAGCAUAUUUUAAACUCCCAUGAGCUUCAGGCUUAUCGUAUUCUGUAUAUGUACCAGGCUUGGGAUCAACUAUCAGUUGUAUCUCCAAGGAGCCCUUGUCCCUUCUUUUGAAAGUUGGUUCUUAGAAAGUAUUAACAUAAUAUUGGUACACCCUUGGAUUUCAUUACUUCUAUUUCCACGCAAACAAAAAGAUGGUGAAGAUACAUAUAUGCACUGUGGUGGCUUGAGAAAGAAUGCUCCUCACAUUGACUUAUAUAUUUGAAUACUUGAUGCUCCAUUAGAACUCUUUGGGAAGGAUUAGGAGGUGAGGCCUUGUUGGAAGAGGUAAGUCACUGGUGGCCAGCUUUGAGGUUUUAAAAGACUGGUGCCAUUCCUAAUGUGCCUCUCUCCCUCUUUUUCUUCUAGGUCAAUAUGUGAGCUCAGAGAUUUCCCUGCUUU
rnacentral:lncRNA from 1 species